CUGCUCCCCAUGGCAACUGUGGCGAGAGAAAAUUGGCUUACUACAAAAAGUACAGCAAAGUAAACUGCCGUGCGGAAUGCCUACACAAUAUGACUUUGAAAACGUGUGGCUGCCGGAUGGUAUACUAUCCAGAGGUCAAAGGUUACAGAGACUGUUCCCCACGUGACAUCAUCACGUGUUAUUUCCCGCUGUCAGAAAACACGACCCAGAUAAAGCGACAGUGUGACUGUAUAGUACCGUGCGAGAUUUUGUCUUUUGACUACAGCAUCUCCAGUUCUAAAAUAUCGGCAAAACCAGUAUCGUUGGAAUUCAACAGAACAGCAGAAUCCGUUGAAAAAGACUUCGUCAGCGUGGCGUUAUACUACACAGAUAUGACAUACGAGGAGGUGGUACAACAAGAAGCCUACAGCACGCUGACUUUGUUUGCUGACGUAGGAGGAGCUCUUGGCCUCGUUCUGGGAAGUACCUUAAUCACCUUUGCCGAGAUAAUUGAUUUCAUUAUUAGCUUAUGUAUUUGGAAAUUUCUUAGGGUUAAAGUCUAAUCACAUUCACGUAAAAUAUAAUGAUCAAUCGAUGUUUGAACAUUUGUGCACUAAUUUUAAACAAUUAUGUCGUUUGAAAUAUGUCGAUAUUUAUGUCGAUUGGGAUUACCAAGGGUUGCCUGGAUGUGUAUAUAACCUACUCUUUUUACUUUAUGUUAAGUGCAUGGUUGCGAUGUUGUAUCACGAAAGAGAGAUCAUUCACUUCUAUUAAAAUACAUUUCUCUCUGAGUUGACAAAGUGAUAGUGUAUAUCGAAUUUUAUAGUCUGAAAGCCAUACUUUGUUUUUAGAACGGUGCAUGGCAUGGUUUGCAUAAUUCCAAUUCCUAUGUAACGCAUUUAGCAAAAAAUGUUAACCCUAGAAAUCAAUAGUAAGUGCACAUCUACGUGUUCAUGGUAAACACAUUAAACGCUGUGUGUAUGUUUGAAUAGCGAGGGUUUAUUUCGAUCCACCUGAAACGUACGUAUCACUCUCAUUUCAGAACCAUAAGUAAUCAAUAGGAAGUGUGGGUCUUCGAGUUUUUGGUUUUGUUACAUGGUAAAGAGACAUGAUCUGUUUGAACCAAAGUCUUAAAAAAUGAACCCCAAUCGUGUUACUCCGACAGACAUACCAAAGGGGAACUUUGGUGACGAAGCAACUAAAGAUUCUGAAAUUGACCAGACGUCUUCGACGCAAGAGAAAUUAGCCACAUUUGCAGGCGAGGUUAGUAUUCUGGGAUUAAAACAAUCCACCAACCCCAAGUAUUCUCCAAUAAGACGUUUGAUCUGGCUGUGCUUCGUUUUAAUAGGAUUUGGCUUCUUAAUCUUCCACCUGAAGAACCGAUUUGACUACUACCUCUCUAACCCGGCAACCUUAAACAUGGAGGUUGUUCCAAACGACACUCUGGUGUUUCCUGCGAUCACCAUCUGUAACAGCAGUCCGUUAAAGGCUAGCAACUUGGCUGCCAAUAACGAGAGUGAGUUAGGAAAUAUUUUCAGUCCAUUUGUAAACGUUGACUGGUCGCAGUAUAACCUUAGCCAUAUCAAUUGGACCGAUUUCCACAUGAGAAAUGGUUUCCAACUUGAGGAAUUAUUA